CCUACGUGUGGCAGCAGUGGGGAAUAUUGCGCAAUGGGCGAAAGCCUGACGCAGCGACGCCGCGUGAGGGAUGAAGGUCUUCGGAUCGUAAACCUCUGUCAGCAGGGAAGAACGGUCACUGUGCUAAUCAGCAGUGAAUUGACGGUACCUGCAAAGGAAGCACCGGCUAACUCCGUGCCAGCAGCCGCGGUAAUACGGAGGGUGCGAGCGUUAAUCGGAAUUACUGGGCGUAAAGCGCUCGUAGGAGGUAUGUCAAGUCAAGGGUGAAAUCCCCGCGCUCAACGUGGGAACUGCCUUUGAAACUGGCAAACUGGAGUGUGUGAGAGGAUAGUGGAAGUCCAGGUGUAGGAGUGAAAUCCGUAGAUAUCUGGAGGAACAUCAGUGGCGAAGGCGACUAUCUGGCACAUAACUGACGCUGAGGAGCGAAAGCGUGGGUAGCAAACAGGAUUAGAUACCCCGGUAGUC
rnacentral:rRNA from 1 species